rnacentral:rRNA from 1 species
GACGAACGCUGGCGGCGUGCUUAACACAUGCAAGUCGAACGGUAAGGCCCUUCGGGGUACACGAGUGGCGAACGGGUGAGUAACACGUGGGCGAUCUGCCCUGCACUUCGGGAUAAGCGUGGGAAACUGGGUCUAAUACCGGAUAGGACCACUGCCUGCAUGGGUGGUGGUGGAAAGCUUUUGCGGGGUGGGAUGGGCCCGCGGCCUAUCAGCUUGUUGGAGGGGUGAUGGCCUACCAAGGCGACGACGGGUAGCCGGCCUGAGAGGGUGACCGGCCACACUGGGACUGAGAUACGGCCCAGACUCCUACGGGAGGCAGCAGUGGGGAAUAUUGCACAAUGGGCGCAAGCCUGAUGCAGCGACGCCGCGUGAGGGAUGACGGCCUUCGGGUUGUAAACCUCUUUCAGCACCGACGAAGCGCAAGUGACGGUAGGUGCAGAAGAAGGACCGGCCAACUACGUGCCAGCCGCCGCCGUAA